rnacentral:rRNA from 1 species
UUGGCCUACGGGGGGCAGCAGUGAGGAAUAUUGGUCAAUGGGCGGAAGCCUGAACCAGCCAAGUCGCGUAAGGGAUUAAGGCCCUAUGGGUCGUAAACCUCUUUUGUCAGGGAGCAAUGGCGUCCACGUGUGGGCGUAUGGAGAGUACCUGAAGAAAAAGCAUCGGCUAACUCCGUGCCAGCAGCCGCGGUAAUACGGAGGAUGCGAGCGUUAUCCGGAUUUAUUGGGUUUAAAGGGUGCGCAGGCGGAAUGUCAAGUCAGCGGUAAAAUUUCGGGGCUCAACCCCGUCGUGCCGUUGAAACUGG